rnacentral:rRNA from 1 species
AUUGAACGCUGGCGGCAUGCUUUACACAUGCAAGUCGAGCGGUAACAGGUUAAGCUGACGAGUGGCGAACGGGUGAGUAAUGCAUCGGAACGUGCCCGGUCGUGGGGGAUAACACUUCGAAAGAAGUGCUAAUACCGCAUACGAUCUAAGGAUGAAAGCGGGGGACCGUAAGGCCUCGCGCGAUCGGAGCGGCCGAUGUCCGAUUAGGUAGUUGGUGGGGUAAAGGACUACCAAGCCGACGAGAUGUAGCGGGUCUGAGAGGACGACCAGCCACACUGGGACUGAGACACAGCCCAGACUCCUACGGGAGGCAGCAGUCGGGAAUUUUGGACAAUGGUCGCAAGCCUGAUCCAGCAAUGCCGCGGGCAGGAAGAAGGCCUUCGGGUUGCAAACUGCUUUUGUACGGAGCGAAAAGGCUCUCUCUAAUACAGGGGGCUGAUGACGGUACCGUAAGAAUAAGCACCGGCUAACUACGUGCCAGCAGCCGCGGUAAGAC